AGUGAACGCUGGCGGUAGGCCUAACACAUGCAAGUCGAACGGCAGCACAGUAAGAGCUUGCUCUUACGGGUGGCGAGUGGCGGACGGGUGAGGAAUACAUCGGAAUCUACUUUUUCGUGGGGGAUAACGUAGGGAAACUUACGCUAAUACCGCAUACGACCUACGGGUGAAAGCAGGGGAUCUUCGGACCUUGCGCGAUUGAAUGAGCCGAUGUCGGAUUAGCUAGUUGGCGGGGUAAAGGCCCACCAAGGCGACGAUCCGUAGCUGGUCUGAGAGGAUGAUCAGCCACACUGGAACUGAGACACGGUCCAGACUCCUACGGGAGGCAGCAGUGGGGAAUAUUGGACAAUGGGCGCAAGCCUGGUCCAGCCAUACCGCGUGGGUGAAGAAGGCCUUCGGGUUGGAAAGCCCUUUUGUUGGGAAAGAAAAGCAGCAGGUUAAUACCCCGCUGUUCUGACGGUACCCAAAGAAUAAGCACCGGCUAACUUCGUG
rnacentral:rRNA from 1 species